rnacentral:rRNA from 1 species
UACAGAGGUCUCAAGCGUUGUUCGGAUUCAUUGGGCGUAAAGGGUGCGUAGGUGGCGCCGUAAGUCAGGUGUGAAAUUUCGGAGCUUAACUCCGAAACUGCAUUUGAUACUGCGGUGCUUGAGGACUGGAGAGGAGACUGGAAUUUACGGUGUAGCAGUGAAAUGCGUAGAUAUCGUGAGGAAGACCAGUGGCGAAGGCGGGUCUCUGGACAGUUCCUGACACUGAGGCACGAAGGCCAGGGGAGCAAACGGG